UUUACGUUUUGUGUCAAAGAAAAUCGAUGAAAAGUAUGAUGGAACAGUCGUGCUUUGGUAGUGGUGUUUUAUAUGACGUCACCAUCAAUAAUGAUUCAAAAUUUGAUUUAAUCUUUUUUGGUUUUCUUUCUAAAACAAUAAACAACCCGGUAAUGCUGUGAAAUGUUGACGACGAAUAUUAAUAUCGAGGUACUGAGCUGCUGAAAACCAAUCACCCUGUUGCGGUCUACGUCGGACGAAACCAGCAGCACCAAGAUGGACAGCAGAAGUGAACGGCAAAAGUAUUUCUCAUACUUUGUGGUCAUGUAUCUGCCGGUGUUCGAUAUUUUGGAAAAGUACACCGAAGUGUGCAAACCCGAUUAUCAAAACGUAGGUCGCUACCGAAUGCGGUUCUAGCGAAAACAUGAUAAGUUGCUGGUACGGUGAAAGGAAUGCUGUUUCAGUAUGGUUUCGAUCAGGAACUGGAAAUGUUUGAUAUUGUAAAACUGGAUGAAGAUAACGAAACAGAGCUUCAAUAUUUUUUCGAUCAGUGUAUCGACACCGUUGCGCUGAUUGCCGAAAUUGAGCCGAUAUAGUUUUCUCGGAGUUCGCUUCGGAUGCCAGUGUCCUUAACACGCAGGUGCUCUCCACGAUCGGUUCAGUACUUGGGGCCUCCAGCAGAAUAUCUUCGUCGAGACCACCAGAACUAGACGAAAAUUCACGACAGAUAGUUUCAAGAGCUGCAAGUGAUCUGUUGGAAUUCUAUUUCGUACAUGUCCCGAGUCUGGCUACAUUGAAUUUAUUUUCAGUGAUUUUAUUAGACUAAUCUGACCCAUACGUUAAACAAUACGAAUGCAGUCAUAGACUUAGCCAAGAGGAGAAAAUAGUGGCAGUGGCUACAGCUGUACUAGGAAUGCUUCGUGAUCUGCUCAGCUACUACCAAGAGCAUAGCAGUUCUGUCAAGCAGAUGAUAGCCGUUGCCUACAGACCUGUGAUCUAAAAAACUCUUAUCAUUUUCACCGCGGCCAGCAGUAAAAAUUACGACCUUAUUGAACGAAUAUUCGUGUUUUGUUUAGGAAUCAUACGAACACUUCAGAUACGGCAUGGCCGAGUGUUUGUCAAGCAUAUAAUUCUUCUGUUCCUGGAGAAAACCAAAUCCGAACAGAUUACAUCCCAGCGGUUCCGAUCGCUUGACACUCUGCUCAAAUGUUCCUGCUUUCCGAACGAACGAACGGUGGGAGUAGUACCAGCGUGACUUUUUCCGCCAAAAUCUGCUGCAAUUGUCUAUUCGACACUAAGAACAGCUAGGUGACGUCAGGUGAACUUUAGUGAAAUCUGAAUUAGUCUAGUCUAGUGAGCACUAUUAUUCAUUCCUCCGAGGUAGAAUCGUUGGCGAAGUGUGAUAGUGGAUAAAGAUGUGGAUUUAUUUCAAGUCUCGGAAUACAAUAAAAUUAUA